UGACAUUGAAACAAGGAGAAGGAGACUGGAGAGCUGCACCCUGGGAGCAGCUCACUGCUUCCCUCAGAAAGAUCCUGUCUAAUCUGAGGGCUGCCAUGAACAGAAAUAAAGGUUAUGAUGUGGCUUACAGUGGGAUGAGGAAGAGAAUCUGAAAAAAAAAAGAAAAAAAAAGGGGAAACCCCAUGGAUUGAGG
rnacentral:lncRNA from 12 species